CCAUGAAGCCCGGCCCACAGCCCCGCACUCCUCCCCUCGUCCCCAUCUCUCUCCCGCACUCCUCCCUCGUCCCCAUCUCUCUCGCCGCCGCCACCAACAACGCCCGAUCCCAGCGACCUUCGGCGGGAAUCGAGGCGCCCAUCACACCAACGUGACCCCGAUGCUCCGCUAUCCCCUCCUGUCCGGUGAGAUCCGGCGCGCGCGUCCUCCAGCGGCCAAGCGCAGCCGUCUCCCGUUGUUAGGCUUUCGUUCGCUGAUAGAUCCAGCGCCGGCUGGCGGCGAGGGCCGCCAGAUCCGUGACCUGGGAGGCUCCUCCCGUAGGAUAUGGGAGCAGCGCGCCGCACCCUGCAGUCGUCGGUCCGGGACGAGCGCAACAGGUCAAGGACGGUGGCGACAAACGCCGGCGCUCCUCUGCUUCAUCGACCUGGACGGUUUCUACUCCGCCAAAGACGUCUCCUACAGAUCUCGAACAUCAUAUUUGUUGAUCAGCCGACCGGGACUGGGUUUAGCUACAGCUCCGACGACCGUGAUACCCGUCAUGACGAGGCAGGGGUCAGCAAUGACCUCUGUGACUUUCUCCAGCUGUGGGUACUGUGGCUACACAUUGAACUUGAGCUCCUCAACACGGAACACGGCCAACAUUGGAUCCAAGUACGGGAAGCAGAUCAGGAAAGG